rnacentral:rRNA from 1 species
UACGAAGGGGGCUAGCGUUGCUCGGAAUCACUGGGCGUAAAGCGCACGUAGGCGGAUCCUUAAGUCGGGGGUGAAAGCCUGUGGCUCAACCACAGAAUUGCCUUCGAUACUGAUUGGCUUGAGACCGGAAGAGGUCAGUGGAACUGCGAGUGAGAGGUGAAAUUCGUAGAUAUUCGCAAGAACACCAGUGGCGAAGGCGGCUGACUGGUCCGGUUCUGACGCUGAGGCGCGAAAGCGUGGGGAGCAAACAGG